rnacentral:rRNA from 1 species
AAACUGGGAUUAGAUACCCCACUAUGCUUAGCCCUAAACUUAAGUAUUUUCAUAACAAAAUUACUCGCCAGAGAACUACAAGCCAGAGCUUAAAACUCAAAGGACUUGGCGGUGCUUUAUACCCACCUAGAGGAGCCUGUUCUAUAAUCGAUAAACCCCGAUAAACCUUACCACUCUUUGCCAACUCAGCCUAUAUACCGCCAUCUUCAGCGAACCCUAAAAAGGAGCAAAAGUAAGCUCAACUAUCCCCAUAAAAACGUUAGGUCAAGGUGUAGCCUAUAGAGUGGAAAGUAAUGGGCUACAUUUUCUUCUUCAGAAUAUACGGAAGCCCUCAUGAAAUUCUAAGGGCCAAAGGAGGAUUUAGUAGUAAAUUAAGAAUAGAGUGCUUAAUUGAACCAGGCCAUGAAGCACGCACACACCGCCCGUCGCCCUC